UGCAGCUCUUGCUAUCUUCUACCACCAACUACGUGCCUCCCCUCCUCAUGUGCCCUUGCUGCACAAGACUUCCUUCUUUCUCUCACUCCUUCUCUGUCUACCUCUCUAAUACAUGAGUUAAUCAGUAUUCUCAUUCAUUCAUCCCUCUUUGGUAAACUCUGGAACUCCCUACCUGCUUCUGUAUUUCCAUCUUCCUAUGACUUGAAUUCUUUCAAGAGGGAGGUUUCAAGACACUCUUUUUUUUUUUAUUAUGAUUAUUAUUAUUAUUCUAUUUGACAUUGGUAUAGGAAUUGGCAUCAAGUGGGCUUUUCUUUUUAUUAAAAAUUUUUGUGUCCCUUGGCCAGUGGCCCGCUCACCUAACACACACACACAGCAGCAGAGGAGCUGACAGGACGUGUUUUUCUAGUGCUCUGCAUAUAGAAGGACGGAAUAACACAAAUUGCUCAUGGUGGAACAAGAUAUGUUAUGAAGAUCCUGGAAUACCUAGGUGGUAAAUAGGGAAGAAAGAAACAGUACUACACAAGAUGGAUUAUGAUGCAGAAAUGAAGAGGAUUCAGAAGAUGUUGGAUGAAGUAGAAGUGAGUAGCUCAUAAGACAAAGAAAGUGUGGGGAGGGAUGUUCCUGCCUCCAACAGUGAAAGUGAAGAAGAUUACCUGGAAGAGGAUCUGCAUGUUCCUAAUUUUGAAUGUUAUGAAUCAGACCCAGAUGAUCUACCAGACCAGCCCCAAAAGAAAAAGGCAAAAAAUUGAUGGAUGGAAGGGAAAAAGAUAAAACAACAUGAUGGAAGAAGAAUGUUCCUAAAUUGCUAUGUCAUACCCUUUCUAGCAAUGUUAUCAAAUUUACACCAGAACUAAAAGGACCAGCUCUAAAUGCCAAUUCUCCUGCAGACUUUUGGGGAGUCUUCAUCACGGCAGAAAUAAUUGGUUUAUUAGUAGAACAUACUAACUCGAUGAUCGCUAUGCAGAAAGGGAACUAUACUCAGCCCUACAGAACAAAAGACACUGAUGUUUUCGAAGUGAAGGCAUUGACUGGACUGCUUAUGUUAGCUGGUACAUAUCAUGUUAGCAGGCUGCACCUUGCUCAUAUUUGGAAAGCAGAUGGUACUGGCAUUGAGGUGUUCAGGCUGACUACGUCACUGGAUUGCUUUCAUUUUCUAUUAUGUUGUCUAUAAUUUGAUGACAAAGCAACAAGUGAGAAAAGAAAGAAGGUGGAUAAGCUUGCCCCAGUUAGGCAAAUAUUUGAGAUGUUUGUGGAAAAUUGCAAAAAGAAAAACACCCCAUCAGAAUUUGUGACUAUAGAUGAAAUGCUUGUAGCCUUUAGGGGCCACUGUCCCUUUAGGAAAUAUAUACCCAGUAAACCAGCCAAAUAUGGCAUCAAAUCAUCACGUUCUAUAAUUCAACCAAAGGAGGAAUAGAUGUGCUUGACAUGAUGAUGGAUAAGUAUUACGUUUCCAGAAACAGCUGGUGUUGGCCUCUAAUUGUGUUCUUUGCUCUGCUGAACAUUGUCUGUGUAAAUUCGUAUGUCCUGUAUGCUCACAAUCCACAGAAUAAACUCAAGCACUGCAAAUUCAUCAAGAAAGUAUGCAUGAUGCUAUUAGAAGACACUCUAAAGAAAAGACUGUAGAACAAAAGGCCAAAAGGUCUCAGAACAGAAAUUGCAAGGCUGUUCCCUGAAAUUGCAGAUGCAACAUCCUCAACAAGCUCACAGUUGUUACAAUGCCAGGCAAAGAGAUGUGUAUUUUGUGCCAGGUCAAAGGAUCGAAAGGUGAAAACAGUAUGUAGCACAUGCGGGAAACAUGUUUGCAGGGAUCACAGUAAGAUGACUGUGAGUUGCAUAGAUUGCAAGAAUGUAGCAGUAAGUGGUGAAUCAGAGUGAAUGUAAUGGUAUGUAAUGAACUCACUUUUUUUUUUUUCAAUUUCAAUUCAUGGAAAUAUUUUUUGUUUACUUUUGAUGAAAAGAAAAAAAUGUUUAUGUAACAAAUUUAUUCCUAUGUAAUGAGCUCACUUUUUUUUUUUUUUUUUUUCAACUCAUGAAAAUUUUUGUGUUUGCUUUGGAUAAAGAAACCAUGUUUAUGGUUUAUGUAUUAAAUUUAUAAUAAUUUUCCUUUCAAUAAAUAAUUAUAUCUUUAGUUCAAGCUUUGAUUUGAUGUAUUUUGUAAGGGAGAUUUGCCUAUUAUGUAAUAUUUUUUUUCAAUGUUAAUAUUCAUCAUAUAUAUUAAAGAUUCAUACAAACAUGUGUAUCUUGUGGGUCUUUUAAAAAUAAAUGUGACCUGAAUUUAA